rnacentral:rRNA from 1 species
CCUACGGGGGGCAGCAGUGAGGAAUAUUGGUCAAUGGACGAGAGUCUGAACCAGCCAAGCAGCGUGAAGGAUGACUGCCCUAUGGGUUGUAAACUUCUUUUAUAUGGGAAUAAAAUGUUCCACGUGUGGGUUUUUGUAUGUACCAUAUGAAUAAGGAUCGGCUAACUCCGUGCCAGCAGCCGCGGUAAUACGGAGGAUCCGAGCGUUAUCCGGAUUUAUUGGGUUUAAAGGGAGCGUAGGGGGAUUGUUAAGUCAGGUGUGAAAGGUUGCGGCUCAACCGUAAAAUUGCAGUUGAAACUGGCAGUCUUGAGUGGAGUAGAGGUAGGCGGAAUUCGUGGUGUAGCGGUGAAAUGCUUAGAUAUCGCGAAGAACUCCGAUUGCGAAGGCAGCUCACUGGACUGGAACUGACGCUGAGGCUCGAAAGUGUGGGUAUCAAACAGGAUUAGAUACCCGUGUAGUC